rnacentral:rRNA from 1 species
UAGUCUCGCACAGAUGCAUAUCAAUAAGCGGAGGAAAGGAAACUAACAAGGAUUCCCUCAGUAACGGCGAGUGAAGCGGGAAGAGCUCAAAUUUGAAAUCUUGAAAGGUCACCUUUCACGAAUUGUAGUUUAAAGAAGUGUUUUCUGUUACGAUCGUAAUAUAAGUUCUUUGGAAUAGGACAUCACAGAGGGUGAGAAUCCCGUCUAUGAUUGCGAUUUGUAGCUUUGUGAUACACUUUCAAAGAGUCGGGUUGUUUGGGAAUGCAGCCCAAAACGGGAGGUAAAUUUCUUCUAAGGCUAAAUAUUGGCGAGAGACCGAUAGCGAACAAGUACCGUGAGGGAAAGAUGAAAAGAACUUUGAAAAGAGAGUUAAAUAGUACGUGAAAUUGUCAAAAGGGAAGCGUUUAACACCAGUGUUGUUUUCUGAAAAUCAACCUCUGUUAGCUUUAUGCAUGUUUGUUUAGACCUAAUCAGCUAUCUUGCAUGUUCUAUUGUUUGCAGUGGUGCACUUUUCAGUUUACAGGUCUACAUCAGUUUUUUUUACCGUAAAAAAGUUAAAGAAAGGUAGCUCAUGGCUCCGGUCGUGAGUGUUAUAGUCUUUUUCCUAUGCGGUAGGAGAGACUGAGGUCUGCAGUGUAGGCUAUUUGGCUAGAUACUCAGGUGCUAUGUGAUACCAUUUCAUAAACAACUUGUUGAUUAUGUUUUGUCUAUUGCAUGACUCGCUUGUACUAUCAUACCUACGCUUAGGAUGUUGAGUCGUAGAGCACGCAG